rnacentral:misc_RNA from 1 species
AAGUCGUAACAAGGUUUCCAUAGGUGAACCUGCGGAAGGAUCAUUAAUAGAUUCUUUACUGAAUUCUUACCCCGUGUGAACUGUUACCAUUGCCUUGGCGUCAGUGAUGGCACCCUCCGGAUAGCAGGCUUGCCUGUUGUCCUGGGGUUGUCCUCUAGGCGUCAUCUUUUUUACCAACUUGACUAUAUGACCGAGUAUACCACAAAGGACUAGAAAACUUUUAGCAACGGAUCUCUAGGCUCUU